UAAGGAUGAUGUGGAAGCAGGGCAGCC
rnacentral:sRNA from 1 species